UCCAAAAUAACCAACCCUAAAAGUUUGGGCCUAAACUAGCUGGCAAAGCAUGUCUUUCAAUAAAUGACAGCUCUUCUUCAGAUAACUAUAUAAACCUUAUUAUAAUCAGUUUAUUCUGUUUCAUUACUUAGAGUCAAAGGGUAAUUUAUGUCAGUCACCCAGAGCUAUCCUGUGGAGAAUUCUUGUUCCUGUCCUACCCCCCAAUCCAACACAGUAUUACUACACUGAUCCCACUGACAGACAACUCUUUGCAAUUCCCGAGAUUUCUCUUGUCAGCUCAAACUGGAGUUACCCGCUUCAGCAAAGUCAGCAUUGAGGUGACAUUUGAGCCUGUCCCUGGAGAGCAAAGAAGGCCAUCAGAGCCUUUAAUGUCAAGAGGUCCAUACUGCUUUCAAGAGGAUUCACUGAAUUUUUGGAGCGAGCAUCAAGGACAACAUUA